rnacentral:rRNA from 1 species
UGGGGAAUUUUCCGCAAUGGGCGAAAGCCUGAUCCAGCCAUGCCGCGUGAGUGAUGAAGGCCCUAGGGUUGUAAAACUCUUUCGCCAGGGAAGAUAAUGACGGUACCUGGUAAAGAAACCCCGGCUAACUCCGUGCCAGCAGCCGCGGUAAUACGGAGGGGGUUAGCGUUGUUCGGAAUUACUGGGCGUAAAGCGCACGUAGGCGGACUAGUCAGUCAGAGGUGAAAUCCCGAGGCUCAACCUCGGAACUGCCUUUGAUACUGCUAGUCUAGAGUUCGAGAGAGGUGAGUGGAAUUCCGAGUGUAGAGGUGAAAUUCGUAGAUAUUCGGAGGAACACCAGUGGCGAAGGCGGCUCACUGGAUCGAUACUGACGCUGAGGUGCGAAAGCGUGGGGAGCAAACAGG